AAUCGAUUGAAUCGAAGUGCGAAAGAACCGUGGCCGUCGGAAUAAACGAUAUCCGAAUCCCAAGUGUUUGAAACGGUGAAUCUGUUUUCAGCUCCGGAACAGGAAAAAAUUGCAAUUGGAGGAAAUAUGGAAUCGAGGAUGCCCAGUCGUCUGGUUGACGAAAACUUUGGAAAAAUGACUGUUCUUCGGAGAAAGUUUAUCCAGCAUGACGAUGAAAUAAAAAAAAAACGAUUCCAAAAAAACGGUGAUCUUCGUUCCGCGAAGGAUUUGACUGCCAGAUAUUUAUGAUGAUCAGAAGCCUGGAUUUUCUCAGUUCGGUUGGUAGAGUCGUUGUUUAGGUAAUGUAGGAAGACAGUGCUCUAUUACCCAUCCACAGUACAUCUUGGCCUGGUUGUACCGCUCUACAUGCCUUAUAAAGCCUGAAGAUUUUCCAAGUUCGCAAUCGUUUCCGAAUCUCAUGGUUUUCUGUCUGUGGGCUGAUUGAAACAAAAUUAGCCGAAAUCGAAAGCUGAUCAUCGACCAGAACCUCGCCGUUACCCUAUGUGUGGUGGUGCGAGCAGCAUAGUUCAACGGAAUCAACCGCAGAGAGUGCUAGAAGCAGCCAAAUUCCGUUCUCCUCAAGUGUGGUGCAAACAGCACGCGACAACACAAUUCUUCCUGGAGAGUACUAGGUGGUGGAAGUCGUACAUCAUCUCCCAACGUAGGAAUACUUGAACUGAUUGAGAAAACUGCUUGCGUUGCGGCUAACUGAA